GAAAAAAACAAAACAAAACGGAGAAAUGGGGGAUAAAAGGCCCUCGCUAAACUAAGGACUUUGGAGAAGAACUCCCAAAGAAACCUUCGAUGGAGAAUUCCCUGAGGGAAAAACCACUUUGGACGAACCCCCCCCCCCCCCCCCCCAGCGGAGGCUGCUUGCUGCGAAGAUUCCAGGCUUUCUCCCAUCCCCCACAGUGACCAGACCAGUUCUACAAACCUCGCCGGACCCACGGUGAAAGAUGAGAAAGCUGUCACUAUUUUUGAAGACCUAUACUUGACAACUGUAACAAGAUGUGGACAGAAGAGAUGAAGAAGUCCUAAAGAUUACCAAGCUGAAACUUAAGUCAACUUCUCAGGUUUAUCAAUCGCUCUCCUGAGACCUUACCUGGCAUAAGGCUUUCAACCUUGUGACCCACAUCAUAAAAAGGACAUGGACCUUGAGGAAGAGGAGAACCAUCAGGAUAUGCAGAGGGCUGGAGGAACUCUCCUACAAAAGAAAAUGAAAGAGUUGGAGUUAUUCAGCCUAGAGAAGAGAGGGCCCUAGGGAGGCAUUUUAAAGGCCUUCCAGUACCUAAAGGGGCCUACAGAAAAG
ensembl:lncRNA